ensembl:snRNA U6 U6 spliceosomal RNA
GUGCUUCCCCAGCUUAUAUACUAAAAUUGGAAAGACGUGGAGAAGAUUAUCAUGGUCUUUGGACAAGGAUGACAAGCAAAUUCAUGCAGUGUCUCAUAUUUUU